rnacentral:rRNA from 1 species
CCCUUAGAUGUUCUGGGCCGCACGCGUGCUACACUGAGUGGAUCAGCGGGUCAGGUUGCGCGAAAGCGUUUCCUAAUCUUUAAAUCCGCUCGUGAUGGGGAUUGACGGUUGCAAUUUUCUGUCAUGAACGAGGAAUACCUUGUAAGCGCGGGUCAUCAUCCCGCGCUGAAUACGUCCCUGCCCUUUGUACACACCGCCCGUCGCACCUACCGAUUGAAUGGUCCGGUGAAGCCUCGGGAUUGUGGUUGGUUUCCUUUAUUGGAGAUUGAUUGCGAGAACUUGUCUAAACCUUAUCAUUUAGAGGAAGGUGAAGUCGUAACA